AGGAAUUUUACCCCAUCUUCCUAACCUCAAUCUUGUUCCUCCAAAGCUUUAUCCUAUCAAAGUGUUCUACAAAAGAAUCCGAUCAUUGAACUCUUCCUGUAUAGGGCCUGUAUAAGCUUGAAUUUUAGACUUUAUAGGACUUAAACCUCUAGUAGGUAUGCAGUUGAAGGAAAGGCGCAGUAGCGGAAGCGUCAAGGGGAGACGAAGUCUCAAAUACCAGAGCAAGUAAAUAGCGGGCAAAGGGAAGAGAAGCGGAGCGCGAGCACUCGUUACUAAGUAAAUGAAUC
rnacentral:lncRNA from 1 species